ensembl:snRNA U6 U6 spliceosomal RNA
GUGCUCCCUUCAGUGGCACAUAUACUCAAACUGGAAUGAAACAGAGAACAUUAGCAUGGCCCCUGCACAAGGAUGACAUGCAAAUUCGUGAAGUGUUCCAUAUGUUU